GACGAACGCUGGCGGCGUGCCUAAUACAUGCAAGUAGGACGCAGUUGCGAACGGGUGAGUAACGCGUAUGUAACUACCUAUUAGAGGGGGAUAACUAUUGGAAACGAUAGCUAAUACCGCAUACUAGUAGAUGGACCUGCGUUGUAUUAGCUAGUAGGUGGGGAACUGGCCUACCGAGGCCACGAUACAUAGCCGCACGGAGGAGUUGAUCGACCAACCUGGGACUGAGACAAGGCCCCAGUUCCUACAGGAGGCAGGAGUAGGGAAUCUUCGGGAAUGGGGGGAACCCUGAGCGAGCAACGCCGCGGGAGUGAAGAAGGUUUUCGGGUGGUAAAGCUCUGUUGUUAAGGAAGCGGUACUUAACCAGAAAGGGACGGCUAACUACGUGCCAGCAGCCGCGGUAAUUC
rnacentral:rRNA from 1 species